rnacentral:rRNA from 1 species
GUGCCAGCAGCCGCGGUAAUACGUAGGUGGCAAGCGUUGUCCGGAAUUACUGGGCGUAAAGGGCGUGUAGGCGGCCUUUUAAGUCAGACGUGAAAACCCUGGGCUUAACCCAGGACCUGCGUUUGAUACUGAAGGGCUUGAGGACCGGAGAGGACAGUGGAAUUCCCAGUGUAGCGGUGAAAUGCGUAGAUAUUGGGAGGAACACCAGUGGCGAAGGCGACUGUCUGGACGGCACCUGACGCUGAGGCGCGAAAGCCAGGGGAGCAAACGGGAUUAGAUACCCCGGUAGUCCUGGCUGUAAACGAUGGGUACUAGGUGUGGGAGGUAUCGACCCCUUCCGUGCCGCAGCUAACACAAUAAGUACCCCGCCUGGGGAGUACGGCCGCAAGGUUGAA